CAGGUUGCGAGUAUCUUUGUCUUUAGGUGCUUUCAACAAAUGCCACCUCACAGUGUACCCUGCCCUCCUCUUAGAUGGGCAAAACAAAGAACUUGCAACAGGAAUUUUAUCUCCAUUGCUGCCACUACACUGUAGAUUGGAUGACUAUAGACAGCCAAUGCCUAAAACUGAAGACAUCCCCCCAAAAUAAACGGCACAGAUCUAUCCUGAAUCCACUCAUAAUAACACUAAGAAAACUAUCCAACAGAUAUUCCUGAUCAA